GGGCGAUUAGCUCAGCGGGAGAGCACUGCCUUCACACGGCAGGGGUCACUGGUUCAAUCCCAGUAUCGCCCACCA
rnacentral:tRNA from 19 species